rnacentral:rRNA from 1 species
ACGGAAGGCAGCAGUGGGGAAUUUUGCGCAAUGGGGGAAACCCUGACGCAGCAACGCCGCGUGCGGGAUGACGGCCUUCGGGUUGUAAACCGCUUUCAGCAGGGAAGAUUAUGACUGUACCUGCAGAAGAAGCUCCGGCUAACUACGUGCCAGCAGCCGCGGUAAUACGUAGGGAGCGAGCGUUAUCCGGAUUCAUUGGGCGUAAAGCGCGCGUAGGCGGCUUGCUAAGCGGAACCUCUAACCCGAGGGCUCAACCCCCGGUCGGGUUCCGAACUGGCAGGCUCGAGUGCGGUAGGGGCAAGUGGAAUUCCAUGUGUAGCGGUGGAAUGCGCAGAUAUAUGGAAGAACACCGAUGGCGAAGGCAGCUUGCUGGGCCGUCACUGACGCUGAGGUGCGAAAGCGUGGGGAGCGAACAGGAUUAGAUACCCUGGUA